rnacentral:rRNA from 1 species
AUACAGAGGGUGCAAGCGUUAAUCGGAAUUACUGGGCGUAAAGCGCGCGUAGGCGGCUAUGUAAGUCGGAUGUGAAAGCCCCGGGCUUAACCUGGGAAUUGCAUUCGAAACUGCAUGACUAGAGUCUGAUAGAGGGAAGUGGAAUUUCCGGUGUAGCGGUGAAAUGCGUAGAUAUCGGAAGGAACACCAGUGGCGAAGGCGGCUUCCUGGCCCAAUACUGACACUCAGGUGCGAAAGCGUGGGGAGCAAACAGGAUUAGAUACCCCGGUAGUCC